rnacentral:rRNA from 1 species
GACGAACGCUGGCGGCGUGCUUAACACAUGCAAGUCGAACGAAGAGCGAUGAAGCUUGCUUCUAUCAAUCUUAGUGGCGAACGGGUGAGUAACGCGUAAUCAACCUGCCCUUCAGAGGGGGACAACAGUUGGAAACGACUGCUAAUACCGCAUACGAUCUAAUCUCGGCAUCGAGGAUAGAUGAAAGGUGGCCUCUACAUGUAAGCUAUCACUGAAGGAGGGGAUUGCGUCUGAUUAGCUAGUUGGAGGGGUAACGGCCCACCAAGGCGAUGAUCAGUAGCCGGUCUGAGAGGAUGAACGGCCACAUUGGGACUGAGACACGGCCCAGACUCCUACGGGAGGCAGCAGUGGGGAAUCUUCCGCAAUGGACGAAAGUCUGACGGAGCAACGCCGCGUGAGUGAUGACGGCCUUCGGGUUGUAAAGCUCUGUUAAUCGGGACGAAGGGCCUUCUUGCGAAUAGUGAGAAGGAUUGACGGUACCGGAAUAGAAAGCCCGGCUAA